rnacentral:rRNA from 1 species
UUGUGAGGUUAAGCGACUAAGCGUACACGGUGGAUGCCCUGGCAGUCAGAGGCGAUGAAGGACGUGCUAAUCUGCGAUAAGCGUCGGUGAGGUGAUAUGAACCGUUAUAACCGGCGAUUUCCGAAUGGGGAAACCCAGUGUGUUUCGACACACUAUCAUUAACUGAAUCCAUAGGUUAAUGAGGCGAACCGGGGGAACUGAAACAUCUAAGUACCCCGAGGAAAAGAAAUCAACCGAGAUUCCCCCAGUAGCGGCGAGCGAACGGGGAGGAGCCCAGAGCCUGAAUCAGUGUGUGUGUUAGUGGAAGCGUCUGGAAAGGCGCGCGAUACAGGGUGACAGCCCCGUACACAAAAAUGCACAUAUUGUGAGCUCGAUGAGUAGGGCGGGACACGUGGUAUCCUGUCUGAAUAUGGGGGGACCAUCCUCCAAGGCUAAAUACUCCUGACUGACCGAUAGUGAACCAGUACCGUGAG